rnacentral:rRNA from 1 species
UACGUAGGGCGCAAGCGUUGUCCGGACUUAUUGGGCGUAAAGAGCUCGUAGGCGGUCUGUCGCGUCGGAUGUGAAAGCCCGGGGCUUAACCCCGGGUCUGCAUUCGAUACGGGCAGACUAGAGUGUGGUAGGGGAGAUCGGAAUUCCUGGUGUAGCGGUGAAAUGCGCAGAUAUCAGGAGGAACACCAGCGGCGAAGGCGGCGCUCUGGGCCGGUACUGACACUGAGGAGCGAAAGCGUGGGUAGCAAACAGG